UCCGUCUGGCCCGAGGAAACCUUUGCACGCCUCCGUUACCUUUUGGGAGGCCGCCCCAUAGAAACUGUCUACCUGAAACUAUCCCUUGGCCCGUAGGUCCUGACACAAGGUUAGAAUUCUAGCCCUUCCAAAGUGGUAUCUCACUGAUGGCUCGGGUCCCCCGGAAGGAGGCCUUUUUCGCCUUCCACCUAAGCUGCACAGGAAAGGCCCAAUGCUAAUCCCAGGGAACAGUGAAGCUUCAUAGGGUCUUUCUGUCCAGGUGCAGGUAGUCCACAUCUUCACAGACAUGUCUAUUUUACCGAGCCUCUCUCCGAGA
rnacentral:lncRNA from 1 species